CUGCUGCCUCCCGUAGGAGUUUGGACCGUGUCUCAGUUCCAAUGUGGGGGACCUUCCUCUCAGAACCCCUACGCAUCGUCGGCUUGGUGGGCCGUUGCCCCACCAACUACCUAAUGCGCCGCAUGCCCAUCCAUGACCGGGGUCGCCCCCUUUGACCGGCAGGGGAUGUCCCCUCCCGGCAUUAUGUUGUAUUAGGCGGGAUUUCUCCCGGUUAUCCAUCUGUCACGGCCAGGUUGCAUACGUGUUACUCACCCGUGCCGCCGGUCGCCGG
rnacentral:rRNA from 1 species